rnacentral:lncRNA from 1 species
AAUGGUGUCCUUAUCAACUGAAUAGUUGUUACUAAUACCAGGAAACGAUAAAGAAGUGAAUGAAGUGUAUUCGUUUAUUUUAAACGAUGUCUGGAAAACAGAUGUAAAUAAAUAAUCUCUCCAGGUAAAGAACUCAGUGAACAAGACAACUGCAUAACCUCAACGAGGAAAGUUCAACUUACAAAUAAGUUCUAUGGGAAAGGCGAACACUGAGCAUCAUGGGCACUUCACACACUGUUAGUGCACUGUGAAUUCCUACAAGCAUCCCGAAAAGAAACCUCAUAAUAUGUAUCCACAGCCUUGGAAAUAUUUAAGACCUUUUAUUCAGUAUGAUUCCCUUUCUAGAAAUGUGCCCUGAAGAUGUAAUCUGUCACUCAAAGACCCUGCACAAGGAUAAUUGAUGGAUUAGUAUUUAUUAGAGUGAAACUGUAACUAUCUGAAUGAUCCAUAGUUAGGGGAAUUGUUAAAUGAUUAUAUGUCCUUACAGUGAAAUAUUAGACAGCUUUAAAAAUGUCAACGUUAUAACAACAUUUAUGGACAUCGAAAAUGCUAGUGAUUUAAUGUUAAGUGGAAAUAAAACAGAAAC